rnacentral:rRNA from 1 species
GGUUAAGUCCCGCAACGAGCGCAACCCUCGCCCUUGGUUGCCAGCAUUUAGUUGGGCACUCUAAGGGGACUGCCGGUGAUAAGCCGAGAGGAAGGUGGGGAUGACGUCAAGUCCUCAUGGCCCUUACGGGCUGGGCUACACACGUGCUACAAUGGUGGUGACAGUGGGCAGCGAGCACGCGAGUGUGAGCUAAUCUCCAAAAGCCAUCUCAGUUCGGAUUGCACUCUGCAACUCGAGUGCAUGAAGUUGGAAUCGCUAGUAAUCGCGGAUCAGCAUGCCGCGGUGAAUACGUUCCCGGGCCUUGUACACACCGCCCGUCACACCAUGGGAGUUGGUUUUACCCGAAGGUAGUGCGCUAACCGCAAGGAGGCAGCUAACCACGGUAGGGUCAGCGACUGGGGUGAAGUCGUAACAAGGUAACCGUA